CACUCUCUCUGCUCUGCCGCCGAGCUUACGGUGCGGUGGGCGGGGCGUCGUUCACAUGGCGACCGGCGCUGGAGGAGGAUUUAGGGAACCCUGGUGGAGAGAAGCGUGUUUGUCAGGGUAACGACGGGGAAUUUACAGCAGCAUCAAAAAGACGGGGUGUGCCAUCUGUCCGUGGCUUUCUGUGUGUGUUGAUGUCGUAAAGGGUGAUUUGCUGACCAGUCCGCGGGACAUCAAUCGCUUAUAUCACCCCCCCCCCACCCCCCCGAUUUGCAAACGCCCUCAGCCGUGCAGGACCCGACUUCAUCGCUUCAACAGUCUCUCACAGAUCUCAGGAAACACAUGGGCAUGUCAGGCUAUGAGACGGCCCACACUGGCCCAUGCACACAGAGCACCAGCAUGAAUACAGGAAAAGAAAUCCUGGAGAAACAGAAACUGCCUGCAAGAAAAGAAAAAUAUAACAGACAUAAUGAAAGGGAACAAUGAGAAUGAUGAGAAACAAAUUAACAAAGUGAUUCGGGCCCAAUUCUGUUUGAAGGCAUAAUGAAACUUCAGCCUGGAGGAUUCAUUAGAGAGAAUUGAUGCUAAAUGAAUGUCGUUAGCACGUUUACACUUCGCAGGGAGCCUUAGGAGAGGCGGGAGGCAGCAGGAAGAGCCCAGAGAGGAAGAAAUCAGUCCAACGUUGUCCACACAUUUAAACCCAACCAGGACAGGCUCCUCCAAACAAACCAGGACUCUACAGCAGCUUUGUUACAGAGCUACAGCCGCCCCCUCUCCACACCUACUCGCCAACCCGGCUCAGAGGAGCAGCAGCUCUAGGUUAACUACAUCUACGCUGUAUCAUGACUUCAUGCAACACACUGAGGCAUGGAUUCCUGCUGCAAAGUGACGCAGAAUGAUGUAGGGGUGGGAAUUUAUCGCAUUGUUUAGCAUUUAUCGUGAUACAUUUAUUGUCACAUUAAAUUCCAAGUAAUGUUUAAAAAA